UUUCCGGUUGAUCCCGCCGGGACCUGACUGCUAUCGGACUGAUACUAGGCCAUGCGAGUCAUUGUAGCAAUACAAGGCAGACGGCUCAGUAACGCGUAGUCAACAUAACCUAUGGACGGGAAUAACCUCGGGAAACUGAGAAUAAUGCCCGAUAGAACACUAUAUCUGGAAUGGUUUGUGUUCCAAAUGAUUUAUCGCCGUAGGAUGGGACUGCGGCCUAUCAGUUUGUUGGUGAGGUAAUGGCCCACCAAGACUAUUACAGGUACGGGCUCUGAGAGGAGUAGCCCGGAGAUGGGUACUGAGACACGGGCCCAGGCCCUAUGGGGCGCAGCAGGCGAGAAAACUCUGCAAUGUGCGAAAGCACGACAAGGUUAAUCCGAGUGGUUUCUGCUAAAGGAACCUUUUGUCGGUCCUAGAAACACCGAUGAAUAAGGGGUGGGCAAGUUCUGGUGUCAGCCGCCGCGGUAAAACCAGCACCUCAAGUGGUCAGGAUGAUUAUUGGGCCUAAAGCAUCCGUAGCCUGCUUUGUUAGUUUUCGGUUAAAUCUAUACGCUCAACGUAUAGGCUGCCGGGAAUACUGCAAAGCUAGGGAGUGGGAGAGGUAGACGGUACUCGGUAGGAAGGGGUAAAAUCCUUUGAUCUAUUGAUGACCACCUGUGGCGAAGGCGGUCUACCAGAACACGUCCGACGGUGAGGGAUGAAAGCUGGGGGAGCAAACCGGAUUAGAUACCCGGGUAGUCCCAGCCGUAAACCAUGCAAACUCAGUGAUGCAUUGGCUUGUGGCCAAUGCAGUGCUGCAGGGAAGCCGUUAAGUUUGCCGCCUGGGAAGUACGUACGCAAGUAUGAAACUUAAAGGAAUUGGCGGGGGAGCACCACAAGGGGUGAAGUCUGCGGUUCAAUUGGAUUCAACGCCGG
rnacentral:rRNA from 1 species